AGAAUCAUAGAAUAGGGUUGGAAAGGACCUUAAGAUCAUCUAGUUCCAACCCCCCUGCCAUGGGCAGGGACACCUUACACUAAACCAUGUUACCCAAGGCUCUGUCCAACCUGGCCUUGAACACUACCAGGGAUGGAGCAUUCACAACCUCCCUGGGUAACCCAUUCCAGUGCCUCACCACCCUCACAGUAAAGAACUUCUUCCUUAUAUCCAAUCUAAACCUCCCCUCUUUAAGUUUGAACCCGUUACCCCUUGUCCUAUCACUACAGUCUCUAAUGAAGAGUCCCUCCCCAGCAUCCCUAUAGGCCCCCUUCAGAUACUGGAAGGCUGCUAUGAGGUCUCCACGCAGCCUUCUCUUCUCCAGGCUGAACAGCCCCAACUUUCUCAGCCUGUCUUCAUACGGGAGGUGCUCCAGUCCCCUGAUCAUCCUCGUGGCCCUUCUCUGGACUUGUUCCAACAGUUCCAUGUCCUUUUUAUGUUGAGGACACCAGAACUGCACACAAUACUCCAAGUGAGGUCUUGUCAAUGAGUUCUUCCUCCUUCUACCUACUGCCUCUUAUUAAAGCAAUAUGAAUUAAGCAGGAAAUACUAAUUGAAUGAAAACAGAUGUGUACACUUCACAAAUUGCCCGCGAACCAUGUUUCAAAUAGGGCUUGGGUUCUCUGCAGGUUCGGUCUUCGGUCUACCCUGGAUCCAGUUGAUUUCACUUGUAUUGGACUAGUGAAACUUUUGUCAGUCUUCAAAUUGCUAAACUUGAAAUAUAAGAAAAUCUGAAAAUUAGCAUGGCAAUUCCUAUCCUGUUUCUUCUUAAUUUAAGCAAAGGCUCUGUCAUUCAGACUUUUUUCAUCUACCACUGUUAACCAAAGAUAACAAGUAAGAUGAAGAAGGAGGCAACAGCUGGAAAAGAAAAGCUGCAAUAGCCCAACUAAUUGUGUCUCUGACAAGCAGUGCGCCACUGCUGUCUCCCCUUCCUCUCUUCCUCCUCAAGCUUUUCUGUUUUCUGCCUGAACAGUUACUCUUGCUGUAAGACAGGAAAGUUCCACUAGUUCUUCAAGUCAAGACUCUUCAUUUUUUCUUCAACUACAUCAUGUGAUUAUGAAGUGCUAUAAAUAUCAAAUAAAUAUUUUCAGGGGAAAAAAUGUUUAAAAAAUCAGAAAUAGAAGGAGAGAAAAGAGAUAAGUGGGGUUUAGCAGCUAAGUAUGCAAAUAUUUAAACAGCUGUCACGCAAAACUUGGUCCUUUUCAAACAAAUAGGGUGCAAUGCCAGCUAUAUUUCCUUCUUCCUUCUGGACUUCAUUCAUCCAUCCACAUAUUUUUUGUUAAUAGCUGAGUACAUGCUCUCUCUCAGCUGAGAAUUCCUAUUGUUCAUUUACGUGGCACCCAGAAGAGGUCCCUGCUCUUUGACCAAGGCACUGUAUUUCAAAUUAAUAAAAUCUUGAUGUUAAAUUGCUUUUCCAAGAUACUACCACUCAGGGUCACAUAAAACUGUAUCAAAGGUAAAACCUAUGGCCUCAGUUCUAAUAACUAGAGAACAAAAUAAUUUUCCACUAAAAUCUCUCUUCUCUCUUUAAUUCUAAUUUAAGAUUUGCCAUCUUACCUUUCAUCAUACCAAUCCUUUUCCUAAGCCGCUAACAUUUGGUUCCAGAAGGCACUUGGUACAAGUUAAACAUGAUAUUAAAAGAGGGUUCUUAACUAUAAUCUCUGCUGUAGCAAUAGAAAUGACAAAAAAAGCCACCCAGCUUUGAUUUUUAUUCUAUGAUUCUAAGUAAGCCACAGGGGCAGGCUCUGCAAUACAGAAACAUACGCUACAUGGGAGGGAAUUAUUUCAGAUGAUUAGAAACCAUUCAGUGUAGAAUUUGGCUGUGCAGCACCUCUGCUGUUUAAUAUUCCACAUCAACUGUUUCUGUUUAGCAUCUAAAUGA